rnacentral:lncRNA from 1 species
AAUGGCACGAUGUAGAUAGUCAUAGUACUCCCUGAUUCGGUUAGUAUAUAAUAAUACUCUUCUCUAUAUAUUUUCGUCACAUUCGUUUCACUUUAUGGUAUAUUCAUACUUUUCUCUGUAAACGUGAUCUUUUAAAGUAGGCGUCACUUGCUUAUCAAAAAGAGCAGGCUUCACAGAAAUUAUCUUCUUUUUUUACCUUUCGUUGCUUUCUUCCCUUCAUUUUUUCCUUGGGGGUAAAAUGGUUAGUAAAUUAAGAGAAUCAUAUAAUAAUCAGGUACUUUUUCCUUUUUAAUGCUUUAUCAUCUAUCUUUUUGGUUACUUAUUUUGGUUUAAGAGUACUCUAUAGUUUUUAUUUCUACAAUGAUCUGCGAUUGCGUACUUUUCUACAGGACCAAAGUCGUCUAUGUCUCUAAUAUAAGCUCUCUUUUUUCUAUUUGGACAUGAAUUAGGAUUCUCAGUUAAAGCUGGUGGUGUUGCCGUGAUAUUUUACAGGUUUGUUAUGUGAAGUGAAAGAAAAAAUGAGAUGUGAUGGUGUAAUGAAAAAGAAACCAAAAGAGUGAAGAAUGUGAAAAAAUAAACGGGAGAAGGGGAGAGUGCUAUUUUGUAAUGUCGGUGAUGAUAUAGUGAUAUGUGGUGAAGAUUUGGUUUUCGUGCAGUUGUGAGUGAUUACUUGCUUGUGCUCCUUAGGCUAUUGCAACAAUCAACGAUGGAAAGGGAAUCACAUUCCAAUUUGAUAGAGCAACCUCUUUUUGAAAAAGUUUCUAACCUUCAAGGUUCUAUAUCCUAUACUUUUUAGUCUUUGAGGAGAUGAGGCUAAGUGCUGGUUAGCACGUGGUUUGUUUUUCUUUUCCUCACUAUUAUAGAAAUAUUUGAUGUUGUUUGGAACUAAGAUUAUAUUAUACUGUGUUGCUCUUUGUUUAGUGUCUAGAGAAGCUAUUAUAACAGAUUAUUUGUAUUAUAGGACUUGAUGACACUUGUAAUGAUCCAACCGGUCAUUUUGACUUUUAGAACCCCCGUUCCCCAAAAUAAAACUCUG